rnacentral:lncRNA from 1 species
GGGGGGGGGCCGUGCCCCCCUGCAGGGCCGAGCCCCCGCAGCAUCAAACCCGCUGGGUGCGAGCAGACCCCGCGAGCCCACAGGCCCUGGGUUGAAGGGCAGGAGCGGCGUUUUUGCAGCUUUUUUGCCUUUUUUUUUUUUUUAAUUAUUAUUUUUAACGCCCCCACCCGCCCCCCAACGCACGCACACUCGCAUCCCCAGGACACCCCAGAAGUUUGGGGCACCCUGGGCAGCUCCGCUCUUUGUUCGGGCUCUGGCCGCGGCCCUCCCGGCCUCCCUCCGGACCUCGCCACCGGCCUGGCGGCAAACGCCUCCCUCCUGCGAGGAGCCCUCAGCCUGGCGGGAUGGUUGCGAACCCAAGGGAAUUUUCUAAUGGCUAAAUGGUUUCUUCGGGUUGAUCGACCACCAGAAAGCUGCUGCUUGCCUUCACCUCCCAUUCCUGCUCCGGGAAGCCUGCAGGACGGGUCUGUAAGUCUCCGAGCGAUGGCUGAUACUCCAGCAUAGGAAACUUGCACAAAUGCUGCGCUCCUGGACAGAAGAAGAGAGAUUUUCAGAAGCAAGGAAGGGAUUUGGGAGAUUUGGUAUCUCCCUGUGGGACACAUGGGAGGAACUGGUCCCCUGAGGAGAUGUGAAACCUGCGGCCGGUCCAGCUGUUUGGCCAUGCAGCAAUGGAGGCCUGCACCAAAAGAAGCUGAAAUGCACUCAAAUCGGCACUUUGGUCUUUCCUUCAUGACCACUGAGCAGGGAGCAGCAGGGGUGGGAAAGCUGCCAGGUGAGGUUUGCAAAGCCCU